AUUGAACGCUGGCGGCAUGCUUUACACAUGCAAGUCGAACGGUAACAGGCCGCAAGGUGCUGACGGGUGGCGAACGGGUGAGUAAUGCAUCGGAACGUGCCCAGUCGUGGGGGAUAACGCAGCGAAAGCUGCGCUAAUACCGCAUACGAUCUAUGGAUGAAAGCGGGGGACCGUAAGGCCUCGCGCGAUUGGAGCGGCCGAUGUCAGAUUUGGUAGUUGGUGGGGUAAAGGCUCACCAAGCCAACGAUCUGUAGCUGGUCUGAGAGGACGACCAGCCACACUGGGACUGAGACACGGCCCAGACUCCUACGGGAGGCAGCAGUGGGGAAUUUUGGACAAUGGGCGCAAGCCUGAUCCAGCAAUGCCGCGUGCAGGAAGAAGGCCUUCGGGUUGUAAACUGCUCUUGUACGGAACGAAACGGUCCUGGUUAAUACCUGGGGCUAAUGACGGUACCGUAAGAAUAAGCACCGGCUAACUACGUGCCAGCCGCCGCGGUAAGAC
rnacentral:rRNA from 1 species